UACGGAAGGUGCGAGCGGUAAUCGGAAUAACUGGGCGUACAGCGCGCUUAGGUGGAUGAGUCAGUCAGAUGUGCAAGCCCCGGGCUUAACCUGGGAACUGCACCUGAUACUGCUUAACUAGAGUACGGUAGAGGGCAGUGGAAUUUCCUGUGUAGCGGUGAAAUGCGUAGAUAUAGGAAGGAACAUCAGUGGCGAAUGCGACUGCCUGGACUGAUACUGACACUGAGGUGCGAAAGCGUGGGUAGCAAACAGG
rnacentral:misc_RNA from 1 species